UACGGAAGGGGGCUAGCGUUGCUCGGAAUCACUGGGCGUAAAGGGUGCGUAGGCGGGUCUUUUAAGUCAGGGGUGAAAUCCUGGAGCUCAACUCCAGAACUGCCUUUGAUACUGACGGUCUUGAGUCCGGGAGAGGUGAGUGGAACUGCGAGUGUAGAGGUGAAAUUCGUAGAUAUUCGCAAGAACACCAGUGGCGAAGGCGGCUCACUGGCCCGAUACUGACGCUGAGGCACGAAAGCGUGGGGAGCAAACAGG
rnacentral:rRNA from 1 species